rnacentral:rRNA from 1 species
CCUACGGGAGGCAGCAGUGGGGAAUUUUGGACAAUGGGCGGAAGCCUGAUCCAGCCAUGCCGCGUGAGUGAAGAAGGCCUUCGGGUUGUAAAGCUCUUUCGGUGGGGAAGAAAUUGCACGGGUUAAUACCCUGUGUAGAUGACGGUACCCGACUAAGAAGCACCGGCUAACUACGUGCCAGCAGCCGCGGUAAUACGUAGGGUGCGAGCGUUAAUCGGAAUUACUGGGCGUAAAGCGUGCGCAGGCGGUUUGGUAAGUCAGAUGUGAAAUCCCCGGGCUCAACCUGGGAACUGCAUUUGAGACUGCCAAGCUGGAGUUUGGCAGAGGGGGGUGGAAUUCCACGUGUAGCAGUGAAAUGCGUAGAGAUGUGGAGGAACACCGAUGGCGAAGGCAGCCCCCUGGGCCAAUACUGACGCUCAUGCACGAAAGCGUGGGGAGCAAACAGGAUUAGAUACCCUGGUAGUCCACGCCCUAAACGAUGUCAACUAGGUGUUGGGAGGGUUAAACCUUUUAGUGCCGUAGCUAACGCGUGAAGUUGACCGCCUGGGGAGUACGGCCGCAAGGCUAAAACUCAAAGGAAUUGACGG